UACGUAGGGGGCUAGCGUUGUCCGGCAUCAUUGUGCGUAAAGAGCGUGUAGGCGGCCCGGUAAGUCCGCUGUGAAAGUCGGGGGCUCAACCCUCGAAUGCCGGUGGAUACUGUCGGGCUAGAGUGCGGAAGAGGCGAGUGGAAUUCCUGGUGUAGCGGUGAAAUGCGCAGAUAUCAGGAGGAACACCAAUUGCGAAGGCAGCUCGCUGGGACGUAACUGACGCUGAGACGCGAAAGCGUGGGGAGCAAACAGG
rnacentral:rRNA from 1 species